rnacentral:rRNA from 1 species
GGAUGAACGCUAGCUACAGGCUUAACACAUGCAAGUCGAGGGGCAGCAUGGUCUUAGCUUGCUAAGGCCGAUGGCGACCGGCGCACGGGUGAGUAACACGUAUCCAACCUGCCGUCUACUCUUGGACAGCCUUCUGAAAGGAAGAUUAAUACAAGAUGGCAUCAUGAGUCCACAUGUUCACAUGAUUAAAGGUAUUCCGGUAGACGAUGGGGAUGCGUUCCAUUAGAUAGUAGGGGGGGUAACGGCCCACCUAGUCUUCGAUGGAUAGGGGUUCUGAGAGGAAGGUCCCCCACAUUGGAACUGAGACACGGUCCAAACUCCUACGGGAGGCAGCAGUGAGGAAUAUUGGUCAAUGGGCGAGAGCCUGAACCAGCCAAGUAGCGUGAAGGAUGACUGCCCUAUGGGUUGUAAACUUCUUUUAUAAAGGAAUAAAGUCGGGUAUGCAUACCCGUUUGCAUGUACUUUAUGAAUAAGGAUCGGCUAACUCCGUGCCAGCAGCCGCGGUAAUACGGAGGAUCCGAGCGUUAUCCGGAUUUAUUGGGUUUAAAGGGAGCGUAGAUGGAUGUUUAAGUCAGUUGUGAAAGUUUGCGGCUCAACCGUAAAAUUGCAGUUGAUACUGGAUAUCUUGAGUGCAGUUGAGGCAGGCGGAAUUCGUGGUGUAGCGGUGAAAUGCUUAGAUAUCACGAAGAACUCCGAUUGCGAAGGCAGCCUGCUAAGCUGCAACUGACAUUGAGGCUCGAAAGUGUGGGUAUCAAACAGGAUUAGAUACCCUGGUAGUCCACACGGUAAACGAUGAAUACUCGCUGUUUGCGAUAUACGGCAAGCGGCCAAGCGAAAGCGUUAAGUAUUCCACCUGGGGAGUACGCCGGCAACGGUGAAACUCAAAGGAAUUGACGGGGGCCCGCACAAGCGGAGGAACAUGUGGUUUAAUUCGAUGAUACGCGAGGAACCUUACCCGGGCUUAAAUUGCAGAUGAAUUACGGUGAAAGCCGUAAGCCGCAAGGCAUCUGUGAAGGUGCUGCAUGGUUGUCGUCAGCUCGUGCCGUGAGGUGUCGGCUUAAGUGCCAUAACGAGCGCAACCCUUGUUGUCAGUUACUAACAGGUUCCGCUGAGGACUCUGACAAGACUGCCAUCGUAAGAUGUGAGGAAGGUGGGGAUGACGUCAAAUCAGCACGGCCCUUACGGCCGGGGCUACACACGUGUUACAAUGGGGGGUACAGAGGGCCGCUACCACGCGAGUGGAUGCCAAUCCCCAAAACCUCUCUCAGUUCGGACUGGAGUCUGCAACCCGACUCCACGAAGCUGGAUUCGCUAGUAAUCGCGCAUCAGCCACGGCGCGGUGAAUACGUUCCCGGGCCUUGUACACACCGCCCGUCAAGCCAUGGGAGCCGGGGGUACCUGAAGUGCGUAACCGCGAGGAGCGCCCUAGGGUAAAAC